CUGUGUCGGGCUGUCUUUAAAAACAGAGAGGGGGGAAGACAAGGGGGCUUUAGUGUCUGGGAGGGAGAGGGACAGCGAGGCCGAGAGAGAGAGAGACGGAACAGGAGACGGGUGCAUCGGCGUGCACCCUGGCCUGGGGAGACACAGGGGCUCCGUGGCGACGGCGCUCGCUCUGAGAGGACGAGCCUUCCCCCGGCCGGGUGCUAAAUCAUGUCGGGGAGAAGACGCCAUCGCAGCGCGACAUGUAUCCAAUGGCCGAACACAAAAGGACCCGUUGGGACAGUGACCGACACACACGCAGGGUUCCCCAGGUGAGGCGCACACACAAAGAGACACACAAAGACACACACACACACACGAACAGACAGUGUAACAGACACACACACAGUCAUAUGCACAGACACAAACAAGAACAAUACACACACACAUACACACACAGACAGACACUCGUAUGCAAAUCUUUUCACACACACACACACACACACACACACGCACACGCAGAGCUCUCUCCCACACACCUCAGCUGCUGGCUUGCCGUCUCACCGGUUCGGCAGCUCCUCGGCUCUGUGGCCGCGGGGCGGUCGGCCGACCUCUCCCAGAAACGCUUUGGCUCUCUCAGUCAUACCUGGCGUAGCUCCGCCACGGUGGAGGGCGGAGAACAAAACACAGGAAAACAGCUGCAGCUCGCAGUGUGGGAAGAAGGCCCGGACUGGAAGUGAAGCGUUAUUCCCCCCCGUCUUGUUUCCUUAUUCCAGCCUCCUUCACCUGCCCUCACCGUCUCACCUGUAACGGACCGAUUGUGUUCCCACGGCGACGCAACACAAGAACCACGCAGACGCGUUCGACGCAGUCGUGAACCUCUUUUGGUUCAGCGUUGCGUUUUAGUGAGCGGACCAAUCACAGCCCUUGCUGCAGCGUCGCCGCGACGCAAGGACGUAACGUGUUCGCGAACCCCCUUUGCGUUGCGUCGUCGUGGAGCCAUAAUCAGCCCUUUAGCCCCACCGGUUACCAGCGGUUACCAGAGGAGACCAAUUAAUGGGGGAUUAGUGCCGUCAGUGGGAGGAGCACGGCUUGGCCCUCUGGGGCCGCAUAAAGCACCUCAUCAUCCCAUCUGAUUCCAUGCCGUGUACUUCCUGCACUACAGCACUCGGAAAUCACUCAACUCCACUUUUUAAUAGAAUCAGAGACGAGGCGCCGACACACACCCACCGUUCUGUCACCGCCGGGGACACCCACCGACCUGGCACCUUGGUCGGUAAACCGGUUCAAUUCCCAGUCCGAUCUACCGGCCUUGUGGGGUCAGCUCUCCCUCACUAACAUUUUGAAAUCCGAGCUAAUUGUAGUGUUCUGCUGACCCCCGGGGCCAUUCUGGGGCAUAAUGUGGCUUCAGCCAAAGUUUGGCUGUUUAUUUAGAACCAGUCACCAUAAAUAUGCUGGGACGGCUAAUAACAUAAUACGACUUUAAGACAAUGAACCUAUUCACCAAAGGGGAGCAGAGUAGCCCAAUAAGAGUGUGUGUGUGGCUAUAGUUAAUCAGCCUAACAGCAAUCCUGCGCUCUGUCAGCUGACUGUUCUGGACAGAGCGCCUCUCUCUCUCUCUCCCCCUCUCCCUCUCUCU
ensembl:lncRNA